GCCUAGCCCUAAACCUUGGUAAUAUAUCACAUACCCUACCCGCCUGGGAACUACGAGCACCAGCUUAAAACCCAAAGGACUUGGCGGUGCUUUAGACCCCCCUAGAGGAGCCUGUUCUAGAACCGAUAACCCCCGUUCAACCUCACCCUUCCUUGUUUAUCCCGCCUAUAUACCGCCGUCGUCAGCUUACCCUGUGAAGGCCUAAAAGUAAGCACAACUGGUACAACCCAAAACGUCAGGUCGAGGUGUAGCGCAUGGAGGGGGAAGAAAUGGGCUACAUUCCCUAUAUUAGGGAACACGAACGGCGCACUGAAACACGCGCCUGAAGGAGGAUUUAGUAGUAAGCGGGAAAUAGCGUGUUCCGCUGAAAUCGGCCCUGAAGCGCGC
rnacentral:rRNA from 1 species